GCUCCAUCUUGUCUUUUCUUGGAGAGAAAAGAAAAUAUUAUCAGAAAUUUGCUAUAAUAAGUAUAGCUUGAGAAAAACUCCUGCCAGAUUUGAAGUAUAUCUGAAGCGCCAUUUUCAAAAACGAAUCUUGGCCAGUGCGAUUAGACGUGAAACCAUUAUUAAAUGUUGAAGCAGACAACUAACUUAAAAGAUCUAUUUUAAUGCAUCGGUAAUAUUGCUGCUCAAUUAAAAGUCAGUACUUCAAGGUUUUAGAAACAACUAUUUCAUUUUUCAAGUUUUAGAGAUGAUUGCGUCCGUUUCCAAUAAAUGCACUUUAAUUAAAAACGAGAGUUACACUUGAAUUGUCCCUGCCUUUUGCUGGCUUGCUUUCAACUUCAAAAAGUGCUACAAACAUUUCAACCCUAACCAUACGAAAAAUGAGAGUUCACUAAUAUUAUAUCAU
rnacentral:sRNA from 1 species